rnacentral:rRNA from 1 species
UACGUAGGGGGCGAGCGUUGUCCGGAUUCAUUGGGCGUAAAGCGCUUUAAGGCGGUUCGCUAAGUCGGGUGUGAAACCUCCAGGCUCAACCUGGAGACGCCACUCGAUACUGGCGUGACUAGAGUCCGGUAGGGGACCACGGAAUUCCUGGUGUGAGCGGUGGAAAUGACGCAGAUAUCGGGAAGAACACCCGUGGCGAAGGCGGCUCUCUGGGACGGUACUGACGCUGAGACGCGAAAGCGUGGGGAGCGAACAGG